GGAAGUGUGGCCGAGUGGAUGAAGGCAGCGCCCUGCUAAGGCGUAGGAGGUUUUGCGGCCUUCCGUGGGUUCAAAUCCCACCACUUCCUCCA
rnacentral:tRNA from 1 species